UGCUGGACUUAUAGCUCAGUUGGCAGAGCAUGAGACUCUUAAUCUUAGGUGUGCGGGUCUGAGCCCCGCAUUGGGCAA